GCCAGACUCCUACGGGAGGCAGCAGUGGGGAAUAUUGCACAAUGGGGGAAACCCUGAUGCAGCAACGCCGCGUGAGUGAAGAAGUAUUUCGGUAUGUAAAGCUCUAUCAGCAGGGAAGAAAAUGACAGUACCUGACUAAGAAGCCCCGGCUAACUACGUGCCAGCAGCCGCGGUAAUACGUAGGGGGCAAGCGUUAUCCGGAUUUACUGGGUGUAAAGGGAGCGUAGACGGCUGUGCAAGUCAGAAGUGAAAGCCCGGGGCUCAACCGCGGGACUGCUUUUGAAACUGUGUAGCUGGAGUGCAGGAGAGGUAAGUGGAAUUCCUAGUGUAGCGGUGAAAUGCGUAGAUAUUAGGAGGAACACCGGUGGCGAAGGCGGCCUGCUGGACUGCAACUGACGUUGAGGCCCGAAAGCGUGGGGAGCAAACAGGAUUAGAUACCCCUGUA
rnacentral:rRNA from 1 species